rnacentral:rRNA from 1 species
CAGUAGCCGCGGUAAUACGUAGGUGGCAAGCGUUGUCCGGAAUUAUUGGGCGUAAAGCGCGCGCAGGCGGAUAGGUCAGUCUGUCUUAAAAGUUUGGGGCUUAACCCCGUGAUGGGAUGGAAACUGCCAAUCUAGAGUAUCGGAGAGGAAAGUGGAAUUCCUAGUGUAGCGGUGAAAUGCGUAGAUAUUAGGAAGAACACCAGUGGCGAAGGCGACUUUCUGGACGAAAACUGACGCUGAGGCGCGAAAGCCAGGGGAGCGAACGGGAUUAGAUACCCCUGUAGUCCCUGUCUCUUAUACA